UACGAAGGUCCCAAGCGUUAUCCGGAUUUAUUGGGUUUAAAGGGUGCGUAGGCGGGCUAUUAAGUCAGUGGUGAAAGCCCCAAGCUUAACUUGGGAACUGCCAUUGAUACUGAUGGUCUUGAGUACAUUUGAGGUGGGCGGAAUGUGUCAUGUAGCGGUGAAAUGCUUAGAUAUGACACAGAACACCGAUUGCGAAGGCAGCUCACUAAGCUGUAACUGACGCUGAGGCACGAAAGCGUGGGGAGCAAACAGG
rnacentral:rRNA from 1 species